AACGAACGCUGGCGGCAUGCCUAACACAUGCAAGUCGAACGAGACCUUCGGGUCUAGUGGCGCACGGGUGCGUAACGCGUGGGAACCUGCCCUUAGGUUCGGAAUAACUCCCCGAAAGGGGUGCUCAUACCGGAUAAUGUCUUCGGACCAAAGAUUUAUCGCCGUUGGAUGGGCCCGCGUUGGAUUAGCCAGUUGGUAGGGUAAAAGCCUAUCAAGGCGACGAUCCAUAGCUGGUCUGAGAGGAUGAUCAGCCACACUGGGACUGAGACACGGUCCAGACUCCUAGGGGAGGCAGCAGUGGGGAAUAUAGGACAAUGGGCGAAGGCCUGAUCCAGCAAUGCCGCGUGAGUGAUGAAGGCCUUAGGGUUGUAAAGCUCUUUUACCCGGGAUGAUAAUGACAGUACCGGGAGAAUAAGCACCGGCUAACUCCGUG
rnacentral:rRNA from 1 species